CUCAAACUGCGCAGCUUCAGUUACAAAAACAAAGCGCGGGAUUCUGGUAGGUCAUUUCCAAACCACAGCUCCUCUCCUGAGCUCCUGGUUAAAGGAAGUGUGUGUGCCCCUGUUUACGAGGAAACGCUUAAGGCGUGACGACAUUGGCAUGCUGCCGUCCUCCUCAGAACAUAAGGAAGGGUCUUUCCAGCAGAAAGAGAACGACAAGAUUACAGACACGCACUGUCGCCGUUCACCGCCCACUUCACCAGUUAAUACAGGAGAGAGAAGAGUUUAUAAUAUAGAGACUUUUAUACAAAUAAAAGCUUUUAUACAAUUAUAUGAAUGGACAACAUGACAAAAACAUGACACAAACUUUAAAGAGCAAUUUGGUAACAUAAGACUACCUUUAUAAAGGGUUU
rnacentral:lncRNA from 1 species